rnacentral:rRNA from 1 species
AUUGAACGCUGGCGGCAGGCCUAACACAUGCAAGUCGAACGAGUGGCGGACGGGUGAGUAAUGUCUGGGAAACUGCCUGCUGGAGGGGGAUAACUACUGGAACCGGUAGCUAAUACCGCAUACCAUCGGAUGUGCCCAGAUGGGAUUAGCUAGUAUGUUGGGUACAGGCUCACCUAGGCGACGAUCCCUAGCUGGUCUGAGAGGAUGACCAGCCACACGGGAACUGAGACACGGUCCAGACGCCUACGGGAGGCAGCAGUGGGGAAUAUUGCACAAGGGGCGCAAGGAGGAUGCAGGCAUGCCGGGUGUAUGAAGAAGGCCGUCGGGUUGUAAAGUACUUGCAGCGGGGAGGCGUGAUCCGCAGAAGAAGCACCGGCUAACGCCGUGCCAGCAGCCGCUGUAAUUC